GGCAAUGUCAUAUCAGCAAAAAACUGUCAUUAUGUAUGAGAGACUGCUAGGGAGUGGACCACUGCAGCUCUAUAUCAGCCUAUUUCCAUUUGGCUUAGUAUUGGUGUGGGGCUUAGAGGAAUGUUGUGGCGUUGAGAUUACUGUAUAGAGUUAGGUAUCUAAUAAUGUUAAGACAUGGUGAGGAUCAUCCUUAAAUGUCUAAUGAUGAUUUUUACAUUUGUUUACUACUGAGUAAUGCUGGUCAUUAUGAAGAAAGUCAGGCAUAUCUGGUUAGAUUACAAAACAAGUGAGC
rnacentral:lncRNA from 1 species